UCUUCUGUGGUCCAAGGGCAACUUGCCUAACUGUAAUCUACAUGAAGUGCCUCCAUGUCCACUUCACAUACUUGCAAUCAAUGUUCUUCAAAUAUUACAUGGCCUACAGGCAGGUUACUGGAUUGAAAGAACAUGGAUUCUGUUUUGAGGACUUACUCCGACAGUGGAGAAUUGCUGUACGAGACAACUUUUGCUAUCAACUAUAGCCUGUUAUCCGUAGUCCCUGGAGUUAGUGUUUAUUCUUCAAUCCAUUUUAGAAGGAAAGCAGCUGAGAGACAUACCAAACACACUGUGCUAGAGCUGAAGAUAAAGUACGGAUGGUUUGUAUGAUAGAUCUACCUCAUGGCCAUUGCCAUACUACUUUCAUAGCAAAUGUACCAGAUCUGUAUGCUUGAGUAGGUGCUUUGUACCCAUGGUAACAUAAUUCUACCUCUUAGCUUCUGCUGCACGAAGCUGCACUCGGUAAGAAUUCUAUUCUGCAAAUUCAUACAGAAAUGAUCCUAAAUGCCAGUUGUGUUCUCCAUGCAUUGGUAAGAAGGGAUUUAAUUUGUUCCACAGUUAACAUGACAAAUACCAAGCCAUGAGCUGUUGUUCCUUUAGGAAUUAAAUGACAACGACCAUGAAGGCACUUCUCAAGAAGGUGGAAGCCUCAGUUGAAGAGAGUUCAAAGCUACAAAUACUUUAACUCUGCUUAUAAUGCAGAUGAAACCUGUGUGCAGAUGAACGCUGGGAUGUUUCUGCAAACUGGCCAGAGUUGCUGGUGGUGUACGGCAAGGAUCUGCAGUAUUUGCACUGAUGGAACGUGCAGGUGAUGUAGUGCCCUCAGAUACAGGGGACAGAUUGUCAAAAUUGUAUUCAAAGCAACAUGCAUGCAAAAGACCAGGAAAACAUGCAGCAAUAAAAACCCUAGCGAUUUACAACCAUUUCAAACUCAGUUUAUAGCAUUUCCAAUGAAUAAAAACAGCUCUUGCCAACUGCCACCUAAAUACCUCUUCAUCUAUACCAUUUCAUGUAUGCAGACUGGAUUUACGGGAGUUCUUUUUUGCAGUGAGUUGCAGUGCUGAACAGAAGCCAAGGCAGGAAGUGAUUAUGGCUAAGGAGCUGAUGCUGAUUGAAAACGUGUGAUGCUGCAGAGGAAGUAUCACACAAUAGAACCUCAGUUAGUUUGGAAAUAGAUUUCAAAAACAGGGCACAUUAAGAUGUAAACAGUCAAUAGGACUGGGGCCCAACUUUCUUCUAACAAUCAGAUCAUUAGCAGUAGGAGUGUGCAGAAUGAUUUCCAUGAUUAAACUGCAGGCACAAAAUGUGUGAAAGUGCAUGCUCAUCAAUGCCGAACGGAAACAGCCUUCUUGCUUUUUGCUGUGUUUUUUCUACUGCUUGUCCUGACUCAUCCUGGGUACAAGAGUCAGGCGUAAGUGCAGCUUAAAUCUAGGAAGUGUAAAUGUUCAAGGUCUUUGAAAAGGCAGGAUUAAGAUUCUUUUGUGUAACUAUAAUGGGGUAGGAUUGCUCUCUGGAAUUGCACUUCUGGCUUUCAAGACUGCUUCCCUGAAAAGUCAUCAGCUCACAUUCAAUUAAAAUUGUUGGGAUCUGAGUGGAAACAGUCUCUGAGAAAUGGAACAGAAUUCAAAUAUUUGGUAGAGUUAGCUCUUGUUAUAAUUUAAGGGGUGAUUGUUAUGUGGGUGAAGGGGACAGCUCCCUGUUUUAUCUAGAGACUAGUUUAACAAACAUCUUGCAUAGUUUAUAACAUCCAUCAAGUAAUUCUGAGUUUUAUGCUCCAAGUUUUGAUUCCACCAUUUUUCAGAAGUCCAGCCAGUGCAGAAAGCAGUAAGAAAGACAAACUUAAAUCAGAGUCAUACCAUUUUAUCUCUGGAUAAGACAUGUAUGAUGCUCUGCAACUGCAUUGUGUGUGUUAGUAGUUUUGGGUUUGGUUCUAAUUAUGCUUUUUCUGAGUUUCAACAGCAAAGCGCAGAUGUGGGCAGAAUUGCCUUUAGCUGAAAUGGAGGUGCCAGGCUACCCUACUGCUAAUGCCACACUUCCAACACACAGAUGUACCCAGAGCAAUGCCCUUCAUCAUCUUGGGCCUUUAAGCAGCUGAACAUUAUUCAUGAAAGCACUGAAGUUUCCAUGCAGCCUGCCAUGGACCACCUGAGCCUUAGUAACUUAAUUGAGGAACUUCUAAGGUGACAAAGGUUCUACUGGAGCACCAAGAAAGGCUUAAUCAGUGAAGAUAAUCUAGACAUAAGGAAAUACAGAUAACAAGAAGAAAAUUAACUCUACCCCAGCCAAAACCAGCACAAUCUGUUCUAGAAUUUAAAAGAAAGCAGUGAGCAAACAGCAAUGAUAACAGACACUGAUACAAGGAAAGAUUGGGACAGCCACAGAGUGUAAACUGACACCAGCAAAAAGUUCUUGCCAAUUACUUCAGGUUUUAUGGGUAAGUAACAGGUAUGAGUGACACAGUGGUGAGAAACCUGACCCAUGUGCGCAUUGGAAGGUGUCGAGGCACUGAGGAGUUAAGGGUUGGGUUAUGUGACAAAAGCUCUUCUGCUUGCCCCCCACAAAGGAGGUAGAGAGACCAUGGUAGUGGUGAUGGACAUUGGAAUAAUACCCUGCUCCAGCUGCACCCCAGCCCAUCACAGGAGCCAUCAGCCCAUCAAAGGCCCAUCUGCACCAGCCUAGGGGAGCAGAGAGGCCCAAGGGUGGGUAGGAACCCAAAUUAGGGACUCAGAGGAAGGGACUUGCUGUCCAGGCCCCUCCCCAGGCUGUCCCAGGAGAGCCUCAGCCCCACAGUCAAGGUAUGAAACCAUCAAGAUGAGUCAAGAUGAGCUCAGCUACAGGGCAGGCUGAGUGUGCUCAGCUGCUGGAGGGAUCCACACUGUACAUACCUAUAUCAGGGUAUCUAUGUCUACAGGCAUACCUAUAUGCAUGUAUGUAUCUUUGUAUCUGUAGCUAUACAUAUCUUUGUACCAUCCCAUCCCCAUCAGGCUACUGGAUUUGGCAACUUGCUGCCAGUAAGUACUGAGUAGCU